CGAGCACUCUAGACGAACUGCCGUUGACAAAACGGAGGAAGGUGGGGAUGACGUCAAAUCAUCAUGCCCCUUAUGUUCUGGGCUACACACGUGCUACAAUGGCCGGUACAGACGGACGCAAAGCCGCGAGGUGGAGCAAAUCCUAAAAAGCCGGUCUCAGUUCGGAUUGCAGGCUGCAAUUCGCCUGCAUGAAGUCGGAAUCGCUAGUAAUCGCAGGUCAGCAUACUGCGGUGAAUACGUUCCCGGGCCUU
rnacentral:rRNA from 1 species